rnacentral:rRNA from 1 species
UAGGGAAUCUUCGGCAAUGGACGGAAGUCUGACCGAGCAACGCCGCGUGAGUGAAGAAGGUUUUCGGAUCGUAAAACUCUGUUGGUAGAGAAGAACGUUGGUGAGAGUGGAAAGCUCAUCAAGUGACGGUAACUACCCAGAAAGGGACGGCUAACUACGUGCCCG